rnacentral:rRNA from 1 species
UACGUAGGGCGCAAGCGUUGUCCGGAAUUAUUGGGCGUAAAGAGCUCGUAGGCGGUUUGUCGCGUCUGUCGUGAAAGCUUGGGGCUUAACCCCAAGUCUGCGGUGGAUACGGGCAGACUAGAGGCAGGUAGGGGAGAACGGAAUUCCCGGUGUAGCGGUGAAAUGCGCAGAUAUCAGGAGGAACACCGGUGGCGAAGGCGGCUUGCUGGGCCAGUUCUGACGCUGAGGAGCGAAAGCGUGGGGAGCGAACAGG